AUAUUGUCAUAAUAAUUGAAAUAUAUAGUAUGAAGAACUAUAAAAUAUCUAAUCAACAUUUAUUUCAACUGUCACGCCCUGAAUUACAUGUUUCCUCGUGCACGCCAACAGACCCGUCGUAUACAUAGAAAUUUUUUUUUUAUACGAAACGAUAGUUGUACCUGUAAAUAAAGCCAAACUACAACCAUAAGGUAAAAAGCUACUAAAUUGAAAACAUAUAUAUAUAUAUAUAUAUAUAUAUAUAUAUAUAUAUAUAUAUAUAUAUAUAUAUAUAUAUAUAUAUAUAUAUAUAUAUAUAUAUAUAUAUAUAUAUAUAUAUAUAUAUAUAUAUAUAUAUAUAUAUAUAUAUAUAUAUAUAUAUAUAUAUAUAUAUAUAUAUAUAUAUAUAUAUAUAUAUAUAUAUAUAUAUAUAUAUAUAUAUAUAUAUAUAUAUAUAUAUAUAUAUAUAUAUAUAUAUAUAUAUAUAUAUAUAUAUAUAUAUAUAUAUAUAUAUAUAUAUAUAUAUAUAUAUAUAUAUAUAUAUAUAUAUAUAUAUAUAUAUAUAUAUAUAUAUAUAUAUAUAUAUAUAUAUAUAUAUAUAUAUAUAUAUAUAUAUAUAUAUAUAUAUAUAUAUAUAUAUAUAUAUAUAUAUAUUGUCAUAAUAAUUGAAAUAUAUAGUAUGAAGAACUAUAAAAUAUCUAAUCAACAUUUAUUUCAACUGUCACGCCCUGAAUUACAUGUUUCCUCGUGCACGCCAACAGACCCGUCGUAUACAUAGAAAUUUUUUUUUUAUACGAAACGAUAGUUGUACCUGUAAAUAAAGCCAAACUACAACCAUAAGGUAAAAAGCUACUAAAUUGAAAACAUAUAUAU
rnacentral:lncRNA from 1 species